rnacentral:lncRNA from 1 species
AUGUUACUUUCAUUUAGUGUUAUUUGGUUUUCAGCAUUAUCUAUUAUAUUCUCUUUUGUUCCCUCUUCUCAUGACUGGACUAAUGAUAACACUAUCAUUAGAGUUCAUAGACAAAUAGGUAGUAUUAUUCACCAAAGUAAGGCCAUUGGGUCAUAUAGGUGCUGGGUCUGUCACCAGCUCCAUCAGAGCUCUGUUAUAUCAUGGGCAACAAUUCCUGUCCAUAUUAAUGAAACAUUACCACAACUUGCACUUGAGGAGAGUAGUUAUAGAUUGCUAGAUAAGCCAUUUGCCCCUUUUGCUUUUGUUAUAUGUGGCAUUAUUAGUGACAAGUGGAGUCCAUCUGAGUACUCACAACCAGUAUCAGUAGCUUUCAAGAAACUCAAGGACUUCCAAGUUUCAGUAAAAUUUAAUAUGUCCUCUAGAGUAACUUUCAGGUAUUGGAUUUCCCCAAUCCCACUCACUAAACUUUUGCCCACUUUUGACUUGUGUGUUAAGAGAGAUAAGGGCCUAAUGAGUAUUAGAUAUAUGGGAGAUAAUGUAAAGUGUAACCUCACUCUUCCAUUUUCUGAAAAGACAUUUGUCUGUGCUAAGACCCAGCUCUCUAGACCUGGGGAUGGAUCAUCUGAAAAUGUAACUUUUGCAACUGUUACUGUCCCAUCACCAAUAUUCCCAGAAUUCCCAUGGGGUUUGGUGACUCCAGGACAAUUCUACAUCUGUAACUCAUCAGCUUAUUCUUCCCUUCCCCCAGGGUGGUAUGGAACUUGUGGUUUAGCUUAUGUGAUCCCCUCAAUAUUAGUUCAUAAUUAUCAUAGAGAUCAAAUGGAAAAACCAACUGCUAGAAAUCUAGGUGCAUGGUGGCAUGCACAAAACAAGAGGUCUGUACCUAAUUCAGUGGGCCCUUCCUCUGCGGUACAGAGAUUCUUUUGGUCUAUUGUGCCAUCAUUUGGAAUGGUAGCAGUAUUGGAUUCAGUUAGGAACAUCUCUGCUGAGGUUGCAAGACUGGUUCAGGACAGAGAACAAUCCUUUACUGAACUAUCUAGUGUUCUUUCUUCGAUACAGAAAAAUAUUAAAUACUUAGCAAGCUUAGUUUUCUACAACCGCUUGAUUUUAGACAGGUUCAAAGCUGCUUCAAGGAGGACCUAUUCCUUUAUUAAUAAAUCUUGUUGCCCUUGCACAAACAGGACAGGGGAAUUGUUCCAAAUGUCCAUGGGCUCCAGAAACAAUGAAUGA